rnacentral:rRNA from 1 species
UACGGGAGGCAGCAGUGGGGAAUAUUGCACAAUGGGCGCAAGCCUGAUGCAGCCAUGCCGCGUGUAUGAAAAAGGCCUUCGGGUUGUAAAGUACUUUUCAGUCGUGAGGAAGGUGUUAAGGUUAAUAACCUUAGCAAUUGACGUUAGCGACAGAAGAAGCACCGGCUAACUCCGUGCCAGCAGCCGCGGUAAUACGGAGGGUGCGAGCGUUAAUCGGAAUUACUGGGCGUAAAGGGCACGCAGGCGGUUAAUUAAGUUGGAUGUGAAAUCCCCGGGCUUAACCUGGGAAUGGCAUUCAAGACUGGUUAGCUAGAGUCUUGUAGAGGGGGUAGAAUUCCAUGUGUAGCGGUGAAAUGCGUAGAGAUGUGGAGGAAUACCGGUGGCGAAGGCGGCCCCUGGACAAAGACUGACGCUCAUGUGCGAAAGCUGGGGAGCAAACAGGGAUUAGAUACC